rnacentral:rRNA from 1 species
AGAGUUUGAUCCUGGCUCAGGAUGAACGCUAGCUACAGGCUUAACACAUGCAAGUCGAGGGGCAGCAUGGUCUUAGCUUGCUAAGGCCGAUGGCGACCGGCGCACGGGUGAGUAACGCGUAUCCAACCUGCCUUACACUCUUGGACAGCCUUCUGAAAGGGAGAUUAAUACAAGAUGUUAUCAUGAGUAAGCAUUUUCGCAUGAUUAAAGGUUUACCGGUGUAAGAUGGGGAUGCGUUCCAUUAGAUAGUAGGCGGGGUAACGGCCCACCUAGUCUUCGAUGGAUAGGGGUUCUGAGAGGAAGGUCCCCCACAUUGGAACUGAGACACGGUCCAAACUCCUACGGGAGGCAGCAGUGAGGAAUAUUGGUCAAUGGACGAGAGUCUGAACCAGCCAAGUAGCGUGAAGGAUGAAGGUUCUAUGGAUUGUAAACUUCUUUUAUACGGGAAUAAACGAAUCCACGCGUGGAUUUUUGCAUGUACCGUAUGAAUAAGGAUCGGCUAACUCCGUGCCAGCAGCCGCGGUAAUACGGAGGAUCCGAGCGUUAUCCGGAUUUAUUGGGUUUAAAGGGAGCGUAGAUGGGUUGUUAAGUCAGUUGUGAAAGUUUGCGGCUCAACCGUAAAAUUGCAAUUGAUACUGGCAGUCUUGAGUACAGUUGAGGUAGGCGGAAUUCGUGGUGUAGCGGUGAAAUGCUUAGAUAUCACGAAGAACUCCGAUUGCGAAGGCAGCUUACUAACCUGUAACUGACAUUGAUGCUCGAAAGUGUGGGUAUCAAACAGGAUUAGAUACCCUGGUAGUCCACACGGUAAACGAUGAA